rnacentral:rRNA from 1 species
UACAGAGGUCUCGAGCGUUUAGGCGGAAUCACUGGGCUUAAAGCGUGUGUAGGUGGAUCGUUAAGUACCUUCGUGAAAUCCCACGGCUUAACCGUGGAACUGCUUGGUAUACUGGGCGGUCUUGAGCCAGCAUAGGGGCUACCGGAACAAAUGGUGGAGCGGUGAAAUGCGCAGAUAUCAGGAGGAACGACCGGUGGCGAAGGCGGUUCU